UAAACGACUCUCGGCAACGGAUAUCUCGGCUCACGCAUCGAUGAAGAACGUAGCAAAAUGCGAUACUUGGUGUGAAUUGCAGAAUCCCGUGAACCAUCGAGGUUUUGAACGCAAGUUGCGCCCGAAGCCUUUUGGCUGAGGGCACGUCUGCCUGGGCGUCACAC
rnacentral:rRNA from 1 species